rnacentral:rRNA from 1 species
AGCAGCCGCGGUAAUUCCAGCUCCAAUAGCGUAUAUUAAAGUUGUUGCAGUUAAAAAGCUCGUAGUUGAAUUUCGGGAUCAAUACGUCGGUCGUGCUUCGGUGCGUACUGGUGUCAUUGAUUUCUCCCUUCUGAAGAACCAUGAUGUCAUUAACUUGGUGUCAUGGGAAAUCAGGACUGUUACUUUGAAAAAAUUAGAGUGUUUAAAGCAGGCUCACGCUUGAAUACAUUAGCAUGGAAUAAUGAAAUAGGACGUUCGAACCUAUUUUGUUGGUUUCUAGGAUCAACGUAAUGAUUAAUAGGGAUAGUUGGGGGCAUUAGUAUUCAAUUGUCAGAGGUGAAAUUCUUGGAUUUAUUGAAGACUAACUACUGCGAAAGCAUUUGCCAAGGAUGUUUUCAUUAAUCAAGAACGAAAGUUAGGGGAUCGAAGACGAUCAGAUACCGUCGUAGUCUUAACCAUAAACUAUGCCGACUAGGGAUCGGAUGAUGUUAAUUUUUUAAUGACUCAUUCGGCGCCUUACG